GAAACGCUCACCCUUCCCUAAGUUAAAUGCUAUCCCCCCCCAUAUUUUGAGCAAAAUCUACUCUUGGCCCACCACUAGUACUAGUUUUUAAGUACAUUUUUUCUUUUUUGGUUUAUUGAUUUUGUUUACUUUAAAUUAAUAAUAGAAUUUAGUUUUUUCCGACUCUGGCUUCUGGUUACAUACCCAGUUAACAAAAACAGGUCCGGAGGACGUCCCCCGAACCAACACCGCGAACGUCCCCAGGACGUUCCUUGUUUGCUGGUGGUGAAGCCAACAAAGGACCGAGUGGACUGGACUGUUUAUACUUCCCUCCUUGAGCUGCUGCCAGGGUUUUGGACUUCUGCAUGGACUUUUGGAGUUCUGCAAAAUCCGGUUUUCUUUAUCUCUUAAGUAGAUCUUAUUUUUCUAUGGUUCAAUAAAUGAUUGUGAAAUGUA